CGAAUCAUGAUGUGCUGUCACU
rnacentral:miRNA from 1 species